UACGUAGGGGGCAAGCGUUAUCCGGAAUUAUUGGGCGUAAAGAGCUCGUAGGCGGUUUGUCACGUCUGCUGUGAAAACUGGAGGCUCAACCUCCAGCCUGCAGUGGGUACGGGCAGACUAGAGUGCGGUAGGGGAGAUUGGAAUUCCUGGUGUAGCGGUGGAAUGCGCAGAUAUCAGGAGGAACACCGGUGGCGAAGGCGGAUCUCUGGGCCAUUACUGACGCUGAGGAGCGAAAGCGUGGGGAGCGAACAGG
rnacentral:rRNA from 1 species